rnacentral:lncRNA from 1 species
GUUUAUAGUACUUUGUUACAGUAGCCCUUGCAAACUAGUGUAGAGUUUAUUUUCUAAAUAUGUUUGAAACGAAUUGCCUUGCAAACGAGCAUUGACAUCUUAGAAACGUGGGCUUCUAAAGGGUGGGAGCCUCUAAGUGCCUAUAAUGUUCGCUGGCAGAUGUUGAAGAUGGAUUAAUAAAUUCAUUUUCACAGACUUUAUUAAGUGUGGAGAAAAAGCAAGAUAUUUAUCAGUAGUUUAGUCAUCUUGUGGAAACCACACUGACCUUUGAGUCCAAAGACCUAGUUAGGCUCAGGUUCUCAUUCUGCCACAGACUGAGGGGCUUCAAACAAGUUCCUUCACUGGUGGGAUUCUUAGGUCCUCAUUCAGUUUUUCCACUUUCUCACUUCAAGACUCCAUGUUUAGAAAGUAUAUGUCUCUAAGAGUUCCAAAAUGUCAGUCAUCUCCACAGCUGGAGAGAGGGAGAGUCAGGGCAGGGCUCAUGGGACCUGUGAAGAGGUUUGACUGGCUGUCUAGACAGACAUCCUCAAUGUUUAAACUUGAGUGAACAUCUGUUUAUCAUCCAAGAUGCUCAUGAUGCUACGCCAGCCUGCAGGUGGUCCCCUGGGGCCUGGCCACCAAAGAUGUUGUGUGAUCAUGGCAACUCAGGGGCUACAAGAUAGUGGAAUUAAUGAAUGGUAAAAAAAAAAAUGUAUAGGCUAGUAUCUAGAAUCUAGAUCCUAGAUGACAUUGGGAAUUUGAUUAGGGUACUAGGUCUGGUCUACCAUGAAUAAUACUCAGUUUUCCUUUUAAUUGGCAGGAUUCCAGGACCAAAACCCCUCACCACCAACUGUUUAGUCUGGCUAUAAGAAAAUGGAUACAUUUUAUUCUGAAAAAGACCAGGAGUCAUGCCCUUGUGACCUUGAGACUGCACUCAGGCAGCGUGCAGUGCAGCAGGGAGUCUUCUCCAGCCCCAUCAACUGGAUGAAAGCUUUCCUACAUGGCCCACAUUGUCCUCUGCUUCCCCUCCUGGUUUGCCUCUUUCUCAUCAGAGUUCUGCAGCUCCCAGAGUCUGUUCCAUACCCUCAGUCCAUAUCGGUGGAGAGCCUGCAUGGCCAUGACCUGGAAGGGAGUGGAAGGCAGCGAGCUCUGAUCCAAGGCACUCCCCAUCUUCCCUGGAUGGGCCUCUCACUUGUACACUGAGGCAUUCACAGGCAGGGAAACCCCUGCAGACUAAGAAGGAGGCUGGGCUCAAGAACUAGUGGGUCCAGAUUUUGGCAGAGGCAGGGAAGCUUCCAGGAAAGGGGCUCCUCGUUAACAGCUGUGUGGGAGAGGGAAUGUGUGUGGUAUGCUUAUAUUCCAUUUGUCUAAAUAUUGUUUGCAUGAGGUCAGAGACCUUAGGCUUUGUUCUGACUUUCUAUGAAUGCAUAAAAAACCACCCCCAAAUUUAAGUCACUUCAAGCAAUUUAUUAGUAUCUCUAAUAGUUCUUGAGCUGGCUGGGCUCAUGUGGGUGGUUCUUGCUUGGAC